rnacentral:rRNA from 1 species
UACGGAGGGUGCAAGCGUUAAUCGGAAUUACUGGGCGUAAAGAGCAUGUAGGCUGUUUAUCAAGUCAGAUGUGAAAUACCUAAGCUUAACUUAGGAACUGCAUUUGAAACUAAUAAACUAGAGUUUUGUAGAGGAAAGUAGAAUUCCAGGUGUAGCGGUGAAAUGCGUAGAUAUCUGGAGGAAUAUCAGUGGCGAAGGCGGCUUUCUAGACAAAAACUGACGCUGAGAUGCGAAAGCGUAGGUAGCAAACAGG